rnacentral:lncRNA from 1 species
CCAGAACCCACAAAUCCUCACAUGCGUGGUGACACGUGUCACCACGUGCCUAUAACUGUCGUAUUAUCGUGCUCCGUUUGACACUUGAUUUAAAACUUUAUUAAAAAAAUAUUAGUUGCAUUUAAAAUUAACUAAGAUUAAUUUAGUUACUAAUUUAAUACCAGUUUUCACGGUUCGGGGUAUUACAUACAAUAUUUUUAAAUAUAUUCUACCAAAAAUAACCUUGGC